UGGGGAAUCUUGCCCAAUGGACGAAAGUCUGAGGCAGCGACGCCGCGUGGGGGAAGAAGGCCUUCGGGUUGUAAACCUCUUUCAGCAGGGACGAAGCCACUCGGGUUAAUAGCCCAGAGGGUGACGGUACCUGCAGAAGAAGCCCCGGCUAACUACGUGCCAGCAGCCGCGGUAAUACGUAGGGGGCAAGCGUUGUCCGGAUUUAUUGGGCGUAAAGAGCGUGUAGGCGGCCGCACAGGUCCGUUGUGAAAACUGGAGGCUUAACCUUCAGACGUCGAUGGAAACCGUGCGGCUAGAGUCCGGAAGAGGAGAAUGGAAUUCCUGGUGUAGCGGUGAAAUGCGCAGAUAUCAGGAAGAACACCCGUGGCUAAGGCGGUUCUCUAGUACGGUACUGACGCUGAGGAGCGAAAGCGUGGGGAGCGAACAG
rnacentral:rRNA from 1 species